rnacentral:rRNA from 1 species
GACGUAGGGGGCGAGCGUUGUCCGGAUUUAUUGGGCGUAAAGCGCGCGCAGGCGGUUCGGUAAGUCGGAUGUGAAAAUCCGGGGCUCAACCCCGGACGUGCAUCCGAUACUUCCGGACUGGAGUCAGGUAGGGGAGAGCGGAAUUCCCGGUGUAGCGGUGAAAUGCGCAGAUAUCGGGAAGAACACCGGUGGCGAAGGCGGCUCUCUGGACCUGUCCUGACGCUCAGGCGCGAAAGCGUGGGGAGCAAACAGG